GAUGAACGCUGGCGGCGUGCCUAAUACAUGCAAGUCGAGCGAACAGACGAUGAGCUUGCUCCGCUGACGUUAGCGGCGGGCGGGUGAGUAACGCGUGGAUAAUCUACCUAUAAGACGGGGAUAACUUCGGGAAACCGGAGCUAAUCCCGUAGAAUAUAUUGAAGCGCGGGGGUCAUUGGUGAGAUACGGUGGUGCGGGCAGUACUAGAGGGUUCCGCGCCGCAUUAGCUAGUUGGUAAGGUAACGGCUUACCAAGGCAACGAUGCGUGGGCGACCGGAGGGGGUGAUAGGCCACCCUGGAACUGAGACAGCGUCAAGACUCCUACGGGAGGCAGCAGUCGGGAACUGUCGGCAAUGGGCGAAAGCCUGACGCAGCAACGCCGCGUGAGUGAUGACGGUCUUCGGAUCGUAAAACUCUGUUAUUAGGGAAGAACAAAUGUGUAAGUAAAUAUGCCCGUAUUGACGGUAACUAAUCAGAAAGCCCCGGCUAACUACGUG
rnacentral:rRNA from 1 species